CUUGAGCCAAGUCGUUGGGUUCGCUUCGCUUCGGUCGAGUGGCCAAUCAACCGCCGCCCUACGACUGGGAUAACAACGAAGAAGCCGCCUCCCUUUCUCGUCCUCGCAGCUAUGCCUUUAAAUUACCUGAAAUGCCCCAGCGAUGUCUUCCCCGGCCCGUCGUCUGAGUAGUUCCCAUAGCUGGAGAUCUGUCUCGUGAAAUCUUCGAUCCUGUUGCAGCCCAGUUAUUGGAUGCUCUUCUGGGACGAACAAAGGACAAGUAGGCCAUGGAUCGGAUCGUCGGCGGGAAGUACAAGCUAGGGCGCAAGAUUGGGAGCGGAUCCUUCGGAGAGAUCUUUCUCGCGACGCACGUUGACACGUUUGAGAUCGUCGCGGUUAAGAUCGAGAACAGCAAGACCAAGCAUCCACAGUUGCUUUAUGAGGCCAAGCUGUAUAGCAUUCUUCAGGGAGGAAGCGGUGUCCCAAACACAAAAUGGUGUGGUGUUGACGGGGAGGAAAAUGUUCUUGUUCUCGAUUUGCUUGGUCCAAGCCUUGAAGAUUUGUUUGUCUAUUGUGGUCGGAAAUUCUCAUUAAAGACAGUUCUGAUGCUUGCAGAUCAAAUGAUUACAAGAAUAGAAUAUGUGCACUCAAAAGGUUUUCUGCACAGAGACAUCAAACCUGAUAACUUCCUAAUGGGUCUUGGUCGGAAGGCCAAUCAGGUGUAUAUCAUUGACUUCGGUCUUGCAAAACGAUAUAGGGAUUCUAAUACCAAUCGUCAUAUCCCAUACAGAGAAAACAAAAACUUGACUGGAACUGCUCGCUAUGCUAGCUGCAAUACUCAUCUUGGCAUUGAGCAAAGUCGUCGGGAUGAUUUGGAAUCGCUUGGUUAUGUUCUCCUCUAUUUUCUCAGAGGGAGUCUUCCAUGGCAAGGGCUAAAAGCUGCCACAAAGAAGCAGAAGUAUGACAAGAUAUGCGAGAAGAAGCUUUCAACUCCUAUUGAAGUUUUAUGCAAAUCCCACCCUGUGGAAUUUGCUUCAUAUUUCCACUAUUGUCAUUCUUUGACCUUUGAACAACGGCCUGACUAUGGAUUCCUGAAGCGUCUCUUUCGUGACUUGUUCACUCGUGAAGGUUAUGAAUUUGAUUUUAUUUUUGAUUGGACAAUUCUGAAAUAUCAGCAAGCCCAAAGGACAAGAUGUCAACCACGAUCCUCUCCGGUCUCUGGUGGAAUGACUAGUCGAGCAAUUCCAAUGGAUGUCGACAAACAAGCUACCAGUUCAAGCAACAUUCCUCACGCUGAUGGAGUCACAGAACGUAUGGGACCAAGUAAUGCUGCUCGUCCAGCAGUUCAAAUGCAACUUAAACACAUAGCUGAGAGGAACAUAAGUUCUGAUGUUGAUCGUCUUGAUAAGUUGAGGGCUGGAACAAGUUCUGGAAGACCACAUGUACCGUCCACAUCAUUUGCUUUUCCUGGCUCCACAAAGAAACAUGCCUUGAAUUCCAGACAAUCAGGGCCAACUGAUGUUUCACAUGUUGGGUCAUCCAGCAGUUGGCUUCCAACACUGCAGCGCAAUGCUUCAGCCAAGUGACUGGUGUAGAUUCAGUGGUCGGGGUCAAACAUUGAGAUAACAUAUGCUGCUAAAGGUUGCUGCACCGUUAUUGCUGAAGUCACAUCGUGGAUAUCAGAAUACAUUGUGUAUUCCUAUUAAGGCAUCUAAACGAAGGUGGGCAAUCUAAUUUUCAGAUAUCCGGCUUUUGUCUUCUUUGCCAGACUGCAAUACAGCUAUACUUGUGAGAAUGAUGCUGUUAAUAUAGAGGAUUGCUUUUGAAGAUUACCGACAUGGAAUCUACAGCAACUCGGACUUCUCACAGAGAGACGACGAAAACGUUCUGUCCUGAUAGCUUGAAAAAACAGGUCAGUGUUUCAUCGAUGGAGAAACGGCGAUGAUUGCGGAUAAAUGAAAUUAUAUUCGAAAUUAAAGGACCUUUUUCAAAAACAGAUUAAAUGUAGGGUAGAAAUGAAACUUUACUGGCUAGGAUGGGCGAAGUCUCCAUAGCCGUCUGGCCCGACUCAGUUCAUGCAACGAGCAACGGCGACCGCUGCUCUUCGGUGGCUCGUGGUGUAGCGUUUACCCUGCCUCCCAUCCUCCUCCGUGCUGCCUCCUUGGCCCCCACGACUCCCUCCUUGCCCCUCGCUGCUUCCGACCGCCGACGCCAGCUCACGCUCUUCCUCCCUCCUGUCUACCAGACCUGCCGUGGCUACUCGCCUACGCCUAACUCAAGCGAUCUCGCGAGGACGAGCUCUGCAGCAGCGAGGAAGAUGGCGACUGUGGUUCCGACGAGCACAAGGAGCUAAGGACGCCUGUGGAGAAUUUAGCGAGUUCGGGGAGGCGGACCUCAGCGACGAGGCUGCUAAGUCCGAUUAAUUCGCGAGGCUGGCGUUGGUUUAUAUUAUGCCUUGUGUAAGUGCGUCUUGCUCUAGCUUUUCCAUGAACAAACAAUGGACAUUAUCGUGCCUUUUUGCUUCCGAGAAUGAAUCAGUCUUUUGUUUCUGUUAUCGAUUAA